rnacentral:lncRNA from 1 species
UGGAGACACGUACAGUGCUUCAACGACCAGACCGGUUUCUACCAGCUGGACGGCACAUGCUUCAGCGUUGGCAACUGCUACGACGUACAACAUGAGUCGGUGCAUAGUGAGGUGCUUCAUUAACCGUAAUGGAGAUAACAUGCUCAUCGGUGCCGUCGAUGGCGUGCAUUGCGGCCCCAGAAAGGUUUGUGUGCUUGGCAAUUGCACCUCAAAGCCAACUAUUGACAAAGCGGAAUGAUACAUUAGCAAAACCCUCUACGUAAACCUCAUUUAUCAGUAAUUGCAGAAACUAACAUGUCUUUGAGACAACACCAAACCUUCGUGCACUUCUUGAACUCGCCAGCAUGCGCCAAAUGAAAGAUAUGUAUCGGGGAAAUAUUCUGCAAGCUACAUUAUAUAAGAAGCCAAUUUUACUGCGUUUCCAUGAAGGGCUUUAUUCGCUCAGUAAAUUUUUUUUUUUA